rnacentral:rRNA from 1 species
CUACGGGAUGCACCGGUGAGGAAUAUUGCACAAUGGGGGGAACCCUGAUGCAGCAACGCCGCGUGGAGGAUGACGCAUUUCGGUGUGUAAACUCCUUUUAUAUGUCAAGAAAAUGACGGUAGCAUAUGAAUAAGCACCGGCUAACUCCGUGCCAGCAGCCGCGGUAAUACGGAGGGUGCAAGCGUUACUCGGAAUCACUGCGUAAAGGACGCGUAGGCGGGUUGGAAAGUCAGGUGUGAAAUCCUACAGCUUAACUGUAGAACUGCACUUGAAACUUCUAAUCUAGAGUAUGGGAGGGGGAGAUGGAAUUAGUGGUGUAGGGGUAAAAUCCGUAGAUAUCACUAGGAAUACCUAAAGCGAAGGCGAUCUCCUGGAACAUUACUGACGCUAAGGCGUGAAAGCGUGGGGAGCAAACAGGAUUAGAUACCCCUGUAGUC